AGCUCGACCGGGUCGACGGCCCGGCUGGUGAGCAGGUAGUCGCGCAUGACGAUCGCGUGCCUGCCCUC
rnacentral:sRNA from 1 species